CACGGGGGUUGGAGGGCAAGUUUGGUGCCAGCAGCCGCGGUAAUUCCAGCUCCAAUAGCGUAUAUUAAAGUUGUUGCAGUUAAAAAGCUCGUAGUUGAAUUUCGGGAUCAGUAGGUUGGUCAUGCCUAUGGUAUGUACUGGCUUUACUGGUUCCUCCUUCUUGAUGAUCUGUAAUGUCAUUAAUUUGGUGUUGCAGGGAGUCAGGACUGUAUCUUUGAAAAAAUUAGAGUGUUUAAAGCAGGCAUACGCUUGAAUACAUUAGCAUGGAAUAAUGAAAUAGGACGUUCGAUCCUAUUUUGUUGGUUUCUAGGAUUGACGUAAUGAUUAAUAGGGAUAGUUGGGGGCAUUAGUAUUCAAUUGUCAGAGGUGAAAUUCUUGGAUUUAUUGAAGACUAACUACUGCGAAAGCAUUUGCCAAGGAUGUUUUCAUUAAUC
rnacentral:rRNA from 1 species